GUACUGUGAUGAGGAUGAGGAUCUCUUGUUAAGUGUCUCCAUGCAUGAGAGCAUUAAUAAAGCUAGCCGGGGUCACACUGGGAAAAAGACUAUCAAGCCGACGUCCACAUCAACCCAAAGUCAAAAAGACCAAGCAAGCGAAAGUGACAACCACUCCCCUAGUGAGAGAUAUCUUUGAGACAUUCUUCAAGAAUCAGAUUGAUAACAAGUCCAGCUCCGCUCCUCAUAGGAGGAGGUGUGGUGUCUGUGAGAUGUGCCAGCAGCCCGACUGUGGCAAGUGCAAUGCUUGUGCUGAUAUGGUCAAGUUUGGCGGAACUGGAAGAUCAAAGCAAGCUUGUGUUAACAGAAGAUGCCCUUAUAUGGCCGUACAGAUGGCCGAAGAAGAGGAAGAUAACGAUCCAGCUGAUCCUGACUUGAAGAAUGUGAAGACUUGAAGUCUCCAUCAAAGAAGAUCAAGAAAAUAAAGACAAAAGUCGAGUGGAUUGGCGAGCCAAUUUUUGGAAAAGGAGACAAAAGCUACUACACUGAAGUCCUCAUUAACAACAAAGAGAAGGUCUGCUUAUAUGAUGUGGUGUCAGUCUGUCCAGAAGUGCUCGAUGACCCACUCUACCUCACACGCAUCAUGUCAAUGUACGAGGACUCAAAUGGAAAGAAAAUGUUUCACGAAUGGUGGUUUCAUCGAUCUACUGAUACAGUAUUAGGUAAGACUGGAGAUCCACGUGAGCUGUUUCUUAUUGAUGAUUGCGAGGAUAAUUCUCUUGGGGC